UACGUAGGGUCCGAGCGUUGUCCGGAAUUAUUGGGCGUAAAGGGCUCGUAGGCGGUUUGUCACGUCGGGAGUGAAAACUCAGGGCUCAACCCUGAGCGUGCUUCCGAUACGGGCGGACUGGAGGCCAGUAGGGGGAUGCGGAAUUCCGGGUGUAGCGGUGAAAUGCGUAGAUAUCUGGAGGAACACCGGUGGCGAAGGCGGCAUCCUGGACCAAUACUGACGCUGAGGAGCGAAAGCCAGGGGAGCAAACGGG
rnacentral:rRNA from 1 species